CCCGCUGAACUUAAGCAUAUCAAUAAGCGGAGGAAAAGAAACUAACAAGGAUUCCCCUAGUAACUGCGAGUGAAGCGGGAAAAGCUCAAAUUUAAAAUCUGGCAGCCAUUUUACGGUUGUCCGAGUUGUAAUCUAGAGAAGUGCUUUCCGCGCUGGACCGUGUACAAGUCUCUUGGAAUAGAGCAUCAUAGAGGGUGAGAAUCCCGUCUUUGACACGGACUACCAGUGCUUUAUGUGAUGCGCUCUCAAAGAGUCGAGUUGUUUGGGAAUGCAGCUCAAAAUGGGUGGUAAAUUCCAUCUAAAGCUAAAUAUUGGCGAGAGACCGAUAGCGAACAAGUACCGUGAGGGAAAGAUGAAAAGAACUUUGGAAAGAGAGUUAAACAGUACGUGAAAUUGCUGAAAGGGAAACGCUUGAAGUCAGUCACGUUGACUCGGAAUCAGCUCUGCUUUUGCUGGGUGUACUUUCUUGUCAAUGGGUCAGCAUCAAUUUUGACCAUUGGAUAAAGUUGCUGGGAAUGUAGCAUCCUUUUGGAUGUGUUAUAGCCUGGUGAUGCAUACAGUGGUUGGGAUUGAGGAAUUCAGCACGCCACCAGGCCGGGUUUUGACCACGUUCGUGCUUAGGAUGCUGGCAUAAUGGCUUUAAUUGACCCGUCUUGAAACACGG
rnacentral:rRNA from 1 species